rnacentral:rRNA from 1 species
GACGAACGCUGGCGGCGUGCCUAAUACAUGCAAGUAGAACGCAGUUGCGAACGGGUGAGUAACGCGUAGGUAACUGCCUCAUAGCGCGGGAUAACUAUAUGAGACGAUAGCUAAUACCGCAUACUUUGAGCUGGACCUGAUUUGUAUUAGCUAGUUGGUGAGGGAAAGUCUCACCAAGGCGACGAUACAUAGCCGACCUGAGAGGGUGAGCGGCCACACUGGGACGGAUACACGGCCCCGACUCCUAGGGGAGGCAGCCGUAGGGAAUCUUCGGCAAUGGACGGAAGUCUGACCGAGCAACGCCGCGUGAGUGAAGGAGGUUUUCGGGUCGUAUAGACCAGUUGUUAGAGAAGCGGUAACUAACGAGAAAGGGACGGCUAACUACGUGCCAGCCGCCGCGGUAAUUC